rnacentral:lncRNA from 1 species
GAAGGCGGCAGGGGCUGAUGGGAAGGCGGCAGGGGCUGAUGGGAAGGCGGGGAUCAGAGUUCUGAGGAUCAGUCCUGAUGGACGACACCUGGCUGCAGGAGACCGCUGUGGAAACCUGAGGGUCUUUGAUCUGGCCUCCCUGGACCAGCUGGUGAUCAUCGAAGCUCACGACUCGGAGGUCCUCUGUGUGGACUUCUCGCCGCCGUCCUCAGGUGAGGACUGCUCUGAGCUGCCUGUCUGCUUCAGGUACGGCAACACGGCUGGAGACAAGUGUGUGUGUGUGUGUGUGUGUGUGUGUGUGUGUGUGUCAGGGCUCCGGCUGCUGGCCUCGGGCAGCAGGGAUCGGCUCGUCCACGUCUUCAACAUGGAGAACGGCUUCAGGGUGGAGCAGACCCUCAGCGACCACUCCGCCGCCGUCACUGCAGUCAAGUUCACAGACGCUGGCCCCGGGCUGAGCCUGGUGAGCUGUGGAGCUGAUAAGAGUCUGUACUUCCAGACGGCUGCUCAGGUUCUGCUCUCCGUUCCGACUGCCGCUCAGGCUAAGAGUGGUGUUAAAAAAACUGAGACACACGCCUGUGCGUGUGUGUGUGUGUGCGCGUGCGUGUGCGCUCCUCAGGUGUCGGGCAGGGCUCGCUUCUCUCGCAGUCACCAGGUGAAGGAGAAGAUCAGUCUGAACGACAUGGACCUGCUGCAGAGGCAGGCCGCCGUGGCCUGUCAGGACCGGACCGUCCGGUGA